rnacentral:lncRNA from 1 species
CGGCGCGGUCGGCCCGGAGUGGGCUGGCGGCAGCCGACAGGGACGCGCGUUCGACCCUUAAAAUUCCGACACCCAGCUACCUCACCACAGAUGGCCGCUUUUUCUCCUCCUGCGCUGGGGGCGGAGGGUUGGGAGCAUUUUUAGGUGAGGUGCAGGGGAAGGACGAGGAGGAGAAAAUAAGGAGCCGACGGGAUUGAAAUUGGCGUCGGAGACGUUGCCUCCAGCAGCCCGACGCCUGUGGUGGACGUUAGUCGGCAUACUUCCCAGAUGCCAGCCUCCCUAAGGUCAAGUUCUUUUGGUGAGGUUUGCUUGUUAAUUAUAAGGGGAGGGGUCUCUGUGUGGAGGCCUUUCUACAGUCGUCUGGAGAAUGCCUUUAAUUUCCCUGUCACCACAACAGCUGUCUCCACGUUUAAGACCCUGGGUGGGUUGGAGGGAAGGUGGAACCGAGAGGAGCUGUGAAUAUAUUUUCUCUUAUC